rnacentral:rRNA from 1 species
UACGUAGGGGGCAAGCGUUGUUCGGAAUGACUGGGCGUAAAGGGUGCGUAGGCGGUGUAGCAAGUUAGAAGUGAAAUACCUAGAGCUUAACUCAGGUGCUGCUUCUAAAACUGCUAUACUUGAGUGCAGUAGAGGAAAGUGGAAUUCCUAGUGUAGCGGUGGAAUGCGUAGAUAUUAGGAGGAACAUCAGUGGCGAAGGCGACUUUCUGGACUGUAACUGACGCCGAGGCACGAAAGUGUGGGGAGCAAACAGG